GGAGAUGUGGCCGAGUGGUCGAAGGCGCUCCCCUGCUAAGGGAGUAGGCGGGAAACCGUCUCGUGGGUUCGAAUCCCAUCGUCUCCGCCA
rnacentral:tRNA from 1 species